CUCCCAGCCCAAGAACUGAUGCUGCCUGUAGUGGGUAUUUAAACAUCAAUGUGCACAGAAAAGGGAACCUAUCAUCUUUAGGGGGCUGUGAUGUGCCCCCCAGAGUGAAUCAGGAGGUUCCACAGUC